UACAGAGGGGGCCAGCGUUAUUCGGAAUUAUUGGGCGUAAAGGGCGCGUAGGCGGCCAUGCGUGUCUUCCGUGAAAUCCCUCGGCUUAACCGAGGACGUGCGGAAGAAACUGCAAGGCUCGAGUCCGGAAGAGGGGGGCGGAAUUCCCAGUGUAGCGGUGAAAUGCGUAGAUAUUGGGGGGAACACCAGUGGCGAAGGCGGUCCCCUGGGCCGAAACUGACGCUGAGGCGCGAAAGCGUGGGUAGCAAACGGG
rnacentral:rRNA from 1 species